rnacentral:rRNA from 1 species
UGGGGAAUUUUGGACAAUGGGCGAAAGCCUGAUCCAGCCAUGCCGCGUGCAGGAUGAAGGCCUUCGGGUUGUAAACUGCUUUUGUAUGGAACGAAAAGACUCUGGUUAAUACCUGGGGUCCAUGACGGUACCGUAAGAAUAAGCACCGGCUAACUACGUGCCAGCAGCCGCGGUAAUACGUAGGGUGCAAGCGUUAAUCGGAAUUACUGGGCGUAAAGCGUGCGCAGGCGGUUAUAUAAGACAGAUGUGAAAUCCCCGGGCUCAACCUGGGAACUGCAUUUGUGACUGUAUAGCUAGAGUACGGCAGAGGGGGAUGGAAUUCCGCGUGUAGCAGUGAAAUGCGUAGAUAUGCGGAGGAACACCGAUGGCGAAGGCAAUCCCCUGGGCCUGUACUGACGCUCAUGCACGAAAGCGUGAGGAGCAAACAGGAUUAGAUACCCUGGUAGUCCACGCCCUAAACGAUGUCAACUGGUUGUUGGGUCUUCACUGACUCAGUAACGAAGCUAACGCGUGAAGUUGACCGCCUGGGGAGUACGGCCGCAAGGUUGAAACUCAAAUGAAUUGAC